rnacentral:rRNA from 1 species
AUUGAACGCUGGCGGCAGGCCUAACACAUGCAAGUCGAGCGAGCGGCGGACGGGUGAGUAAUGUAUGGGGACUGCCCGAUAGAGGGGGAUAACUACUGGAAACGGUGGCUAAUACCGCAUACUAUCGGAUAACCCAUAUGGGAUUAGCUAGUAGGUGGGGUAAAGGCUCACCUGGGCGACGAUCUCUAGCUGGUCUGAGAGGAUGAUCGGCAACACUGAUACGAAGACACGGCCCAGACUCCUAGGGGGGCAGCAGUGGGGAUUAUGGCACAAUGGGGGCAAGCGUGAGGAAGCCAUGCCGGGUGAAUGAAGAAGGCCUUAGGGUUGUAAAGUACUUUCAGCGGGGAGGCGUUACCCGAAGAAGAAGCACCGGCUAACUCCGUGCCAGCAGCCGCGGUAAUA